rnacentral:rRNA from 1 species
ACUCAAAGGAAUAGACGGGACCCGCACAAGCGGUGGAGCAUGUGGUUUAAUUCGACGAUACACGAAGAACCUUACCUGGACUUGACAUAGUAAGAACUUUCUAGAGAUAGAUUGGUGUCUGCUUGCAGAAACUUAUAUACAGGUGCUGCACGGCUGUCGUCAGCUCGUGUCGUGGGAUGUUGGGUUAAGUCCCGCAACGAGCGCAACCCUCGUCAUUAGUUGCUAACAGUUCGGCUGAGAACUCUAAUGAGACUGCCUACGCAAGUAGGAGGAAGGUGAGGACGACGUCAAGUCAUCAUGGCCCUUACGUCCAGGGCUACACACGUGCUACAAUGGGGUAUACAAAGAGCAGCAAUACGGUGACGUGGAGCAAAUCUCAAAAAUAUCUCCCAGUUCGGAUUGUAGUUUGCAACUUGACUACAUGAAGUUGGAAUCGCUAGUAAUCGUAGAUCAGCUAUGCUACGGUGAAUACGUUCCCGGGUCUUGUACUCACCGCCCGUCACACCAUGGGAGUUGAACUCAUUCGAAGCGGGGAUGCUAAAGUAGCUACCUUCCACAGUGGAUUCAGCGACUGGGGUGAAGUCGUAACAAGGUAGCCGUAA